GUUAAGGUGUCUGAUAAAGGUAAUAAAUUGUACGUUUAUUUAUGAAUAAAAUUCUCUUAAUA
rnacentral:tRNA from 1 species